AUUAGAAUACAUGACCUGCUGGCUAUGGGAAAAGGCUUAUUGAAAAGCCUCUUGGAAUUGCCCCAGGGGAUGAGGCUGGUUGUAACCAUGACUAUUGGGGAGAGGUGCUGUUGGGGGAUAAUCUGACGUCUAGUUCCAGCUCUUCCAUAACUUGCAACUCAGCCUCUGCACAUUGGUCAGCAUUCCAACCUUCCAUGGGCACCCCUUUCCUGGUGGUGAAAUGGGGGUAAAAUUAUGCCUAACUUGCUUCUGCCCUCUCAGCUUCUGUGAGGGGUCAAAUGAGACGUUAGUCAAAGUGCGGUGUAAAUUAUAGAGACUGAGACUGGUGCUUCAAAAGAGGUACCAAGGAAGGUAAUGAUCACAGGAAUCUCAAUGAAUUUGAGCAGGAUUCUUCAUAAUUGUAUUAUAUAUGCCCUUAAUCGGAAGUGCUGACAACUUCCUGAAGACAGAAGAGGUCACAUGAGGGACAGAUAACCUAGAGACCUGAUUGAUAAGCUGCAGACCAUCUCUGGCUUUGCUGAAUGACUUUGGGCAGCGUCUGUGCCUUCCCGGGCUUCCAUUUCUCUCUCCACAAAAUGGGAAGCAUGAUACCUGCCUCUCUGGCUUAUCAAGGUGAAGAAAGAUGUUCCUGUCUUCUCAUCCGAGUCCGGGCCCGCAGCUGGCCGUAGUAAUCUGAAGGGAACUAACUGGGGAGCUACCUUCUUCCAAGGUCAUGUGGCUGCUAGCAAGAUUUACUCUCAAGGAUUGUUGGACUGAUGUCUUCCCAGCUGUUGGCCAGAGGCCCCCCUCAGUUCCUCAGUUCCACGCAUCAGUGUCUCCUGCGUGGGAGUUUGCUUCAUCAAAGCGUGCAAGCCGGGCGUGAAAGCAAGAGCAGGGUGGAAGUCACGAUCUUUUGUAGCCUGAUCGUGGAAGGGAUUAUUGCCGUAUUCUAUUUGUUAGAAGUGAGUCACUGGGCCCAGCCCAUCCUGCACAAAAGGAGAGUACACGGGGGCUUGAAUACCAGGAAGAGGGGAUCACAGGGGGCCAUUCUAGAACCUUUCUGCCUGCCACACCAGUCGCCAACUUUUAAUUUUGCCAGAGAAGAACACUUAGAAAAUCAACUCCCACCUCUGGUUACCAUAACUUCAUAAAUGAAAUAGACCUUUUUACAAUUUGUCUAGAUACAAAGAGAUAAUUUCACAAUAAGGGGUAGUCCCUUGUGGGUGAAUAAAUGUAGCCUCGUGCAAAAUGCCCGCAUGGUCCUCAGUUUUCUCCCUCUGCAGAGCUCUGGUGUCUGGCUUAGCACCAGGAACCUCCUCUCCUGCCUGAAGCAGGAUAACACAGCAGCUGGUGGGUGGAGUUAAGAGAGGAGGGGGUGGGUUGGCCUGAGCAUGGCUGGGGCCCACACAGUGCCUAGCACUGCCCACCCCCCCAAGCUGGCUGGCUGAAUGAAUGAAUACAUCAGUGAGAAACUUCAUGGGGACGUGUCACUUUUACCCCCAGCUCUCAGACAAGGAAACCCAGCCUUGUAAGGCUAAGUGACAGCUGGGCCCAAGCCUUCAGGGCUAGAAAGGACACUAUAUUUGCAGGGUGCUCUAUUCUCCACAAACCCCUUCCGCACCCAUUAGCUAAGCUGAUAGUCUCAAUGCCCCUGGUUGUGGGAAGAAGUUUGUCAUUUCCCAUGUUAGCACUGAGCAAACGGUUUCAGAGAGGUUAAGCACCUUGCAUGGACCCGGAGAGGGCUGAGGGAGGUUUAAAAAAAAAAAAAAAAAAGCAGCAAGGGUUACUGAGCAGGGAGGGUCCAGCAGGGGUCAUUUGACCAGUCUCCCAGGUGGGGAGUCAGUUCUAGGGGGGGCAACUCUGGGGCCACGAGCCAUCUUUAUUCCUCCAAAGUCAGGCCAGAGGCAGCGCUGUGGCAGGUGGCACCAGGGUACCAUUGAGUCAGAUGGCCCCAGUGCAAAGGCAAGAGACCCUAGAGCAAGCAGCCAAGUUAGCCUCAGAAGCUCAGAGCUUUUUCCACUUGCCCUUUACUUGGGCCAAAGCUGCCCCAUCCCAGCCCCUCAGCCCAGUCCCCAGGGUGCCCCUGCUGCACAGGGUGCCGCUUGCCCACUUGGCCCGUUCCACUGCAUAUUCCCUGGUUUAGUUAUGCCUUCCCUUCUUGAGGAGCACCCCCCUGGGGCUUCUCUCUGCACCCCCACCUCCCAGCAGAGCACGUGACCAGUGACAUCACUGGAGUGAAAUGGCCACCCUCGUCUGGUAUUUAUUGUACCCAGGAAUAUCCACUCUCAACCCACAUACAAAAUCCCGAGACUGGAUGCUACGGUCACCCCUUUUCACAACAGAAAAAAGCCCCAGGAACCAAAAGGUUGGUGAACAUGGCCGAAUCACACAGCAAGUAUUUGGUGCCACAGCUGAAAGGUGGAAAGGCCACAUUUAAAAAUCCUCAUCCCUGCAUGCAAGGCACUGGGCUAACACUUUUAUAGACAAUAUAUUAUCUCAAUUGCCGGCACAAGGGGGCCACUAUCAUUAAAUCCAUUUUACCCAUGAAGAAAUUAAAGUUUAGCUAGGCCAAGUGACCUGCCCAAGCACAUCAGGGAGGAACGGGGAUGGAACCCGCGGCCGGCCCUCUUCUGCAGAACAUUCCACUGCCUGCAAAACUAUGGGCAGAUGCAUAUGGUUACUAGACUCUUAGGAGUCAGGUCCUGCUUUUCAGUUCUCCUUUGUUGGUUGUUAUCUUUGUUUCCCUGACCGUGUGCUGUAGGCUAAGGAUGUAACUCUAGAGUCGCCAUUGUAAAGGCAAUUAGAUAACUUUAAUGAAGAAUGCCAAACAAAAAAAAUCUGACUUAUGGCAAGAUAUAUCAUGAUUAGCCGUAGACGAUGUCAACUCUUUCCAGCUUAUAAGUGCAAAGCAAUACAAUCAAAACACCACUGAGGGCUUCUGCAGAAUUUAAUACACUUAUUCUAGAAUGACAUGGAAGAGGAAACAACAGUCAAGAAAUUCGCGAAACUGGAAGACGCAGAAGGGACACAUCUCCUAUCAGAUAGCCAGACUUAGUAUAAAGGCUUUUUACCUAUAAUUAAGAGAGUACUGCUCUGGGACUACAUAUUAAGAAAAGAAAAAGCAUCAGGAAAACCAGUCUUAUCUCACCACUUUGGUCGUGAAAGAAACCCAAGUGAAAACACAGUCACCUUUUAUACCCAUCAGACGGCCAAGGAUGAAGAAUGACAAUUUUCAGGAUUGGGGACACGUGAGAAAUCAGACACUCUCUACACUGAUGUCUGCACGUGUAGGUAGGGGGAUUGAGAAUGAGUCAAACAUUCCUGGGAAGGGGUUUGGUAAUAUAUAUCAAAAUGCAAUGUGCCAUGCUCCUUGACCCAGAGGAUCCCCCUCCAGAAUUUAUCCUUAUGUCAUGAAUGAUGUCUCUUAACGGCAUUGUUUACAAUAGGAAGAUGUUGGAAGCUGCUUCAACGUCCAUCAAUAAGAGAUUGGUCAAAUAAAUCAUGGUAUGCCCAUACAACACAAGUAUCACAAAAGAUUAAAAACGAAAGUAUAGACCAACAGCACUGACAAAGAUGAUUGAGUAAAUAACAAAGAUUGCCUUGACCCCACCGCUCAGAAAUAAUUACUGGUAAACAUUCUGUUUAUAUUUUCCCAGCCUUUUUUCCAUGCAUGCACACAUGUUAUUGAAAGAAAUGGAAUCGUACGAUAUGUAUUACUUUGUAACUAGCAAUUUAAAUACAUAUUGAAUACUGUGA